CGAUCACGUGGUAGGGGCAAAUGCAUAAAAGAAAGCUCGGAGACAUGCAAAUCAAAUAGAAAGAAGAGCCAAUGAGGCAGUGGGGGUACUCGCUAACCCCGCCUUUCUCCCAGGCUCAUCUUGCCGCGUGAGAGCCGAAACGAAUGCUUUUCCCUGGCAAGAGACAAAGACCUAAUGGCAGCUUAAAGCUUAUUUGUAGUAGCAUGAAAGUUUGAUGUGUACCAACCAGUUCGUUUCCCUAUACAGUUUUUUAAAUACUUAAAAAUACUUCUAAUAGCAGUGUUUUUCAUGUUUAUUAUGCUAAUAAUAAAGAGACAUCCUCAUCAUCAAAUCCGUAGUUUGGAGGAUCAUCUGAAAGCUGCCAAUUUCAGGUACUGAUAAUCAAUGAGGAGCAUUUUCCUAGCCUAGCAACUUUUACCAAGCCUGUUUAUCUACAAAUGGGAGUGGGGCAACCAGAUGCUGAGCCAUUGUUUUGCUUGCUGAACAUGCUAAUCUAGAAGGAGGACAACUGGGUUACCUGGGAGUAACUGAGCAACACAUCCAGCAAAGCAAGCCCUACUUAGGCACUGAGACAACCUGGUAAUGCUGAUAAAUAUAGGUCAACACCAGCAACACCCUUCCCCGACAAUAUCCCCAAAAGGAACAACGGCAGAUUUUCUCAUUGAUAAUUUCAGAAAUGAUUUUGCUUUUGACAUAAGCCGAACGCCUGAUGCAAACAAACAGAAUGGGCACAGCCAUGUGACUUUGUUGCUGAUGUAUGAUACAAUCUAAUUAACAGGCUUUAAUAUGAUUGCAGUGUCACAAAUUAAAUAUUAUAUAAAGCUCAUGCCUCA